CCUACGGGAGGCAGCAGUGAGGAAUAUUGGUCAAUGGACGAGAGUCAGAACCAGCCAAGUAGCGUGAAGGAUGACUGCCCUAUGGGUUGUAAACUUCUUUUAUAUGGGAAUAAAACGUUCCACGUGUGGGAUUUUGUAUGUACCAUAUGAAUAAGGAUCGGCUAACUCCGUGCCAGCAGCCGCGGUAAUACGGAGGAUCCGAGCGUUAUCCGGAUUUAUUGGGUUUAACGGGAGCGUAGGUGGAUUGUUAAGUCAGUUGUGAAAGUUUGCGGCUCAACCGUAAAAUUGCAGUUGAAACUGGCAGUCUUGAGUGCAGUAGAGGUGGGCGGAAUGCGUGGUGUAGCGGUGAAAUGCAUAGAUAUCACGAAGAACUCCGAUUGCGAAGGCAGUUCACUGGACUGCAACUGACACUGAGGCUCGAAAGUGUGGGUAUCAAACAGGAUUAGAUACCCCAGUAGUC
rnacentral:rRNA from 1 species